AUGAGUGACCAUUCCAAUUUCGAACAGGUCCUUGAUGAGCUUGAUGAGCUUGUUGAACAUUCUGAAUUAAAUUAUGAACUCCAGAGCUUGGAUGAUUUCAUUAAUAAGAUGUCGGGAGAACAGGAGGCAGCACCAUCCACCAGCCAUCAACCUGUCAGGUGGUUGAAGAGAGACAGUGAUGGAAAUGUUGUCUAUGACAGACCAAGGUCAUCCCGAAACCAAAUGGCUAGUCACAGCUACAGUCGUAAGGCUGGUGCUCAUCCUAGAAUGUUGGACAGCAGCGUUGAGCUAACCAACUACUGUCCUCCUGACACUGUUGAGACUUUCCUUGAAGAGCUAAACCACUCACAGGGUGAUGACUUGGAUGAUCAGGAAACGGCACCAGCACCACCACGGGCCUCUUCAGACUGGUCUACUCGAAAAAGUCUCCUCUCAGAGAGGUGGGAGAAAGAAAGAGCCUGUCUGGUGAAUACCAUGGUAGCACAACAAAAUGUGACAACUCAGAUCUGCCAACAAUGUGGCAUCAGUCCAGCUGCUGUCCGUUGUCGUGACUGCAGACCACAACCAUUUUUCUGUGCUGAUUGUGAUGUCAGUAUACACCGAAACCACGUAUUCCACAACAGGGAUGCAACAAUAGCUGGAUUCUUUCAGCCAUUGCCUCCAACAACCUGUGUCGUGGAGAGGGCUCUUUCCCAGUGUGUGUGUAUUGUGCCGUUGGAGAUGCCCAAAAAAAUAUGUAGUUGUUCUCCAGGAUCGUUGAGUGUCAACACAGGAAAAGUUGUUGCUGUGGUUACAAUGAAUGGUAAGAAUAAGAUGAACUUAAGGGAACAUUCCAGAUCAAGUGGCUCUAGUGUCCAUAUCACAUUCUGGGCAAAGUGCCCAUAGGGACCUGGGUUGGACUUUAACCUGAUUCCACCCCAUAGGGCUCUCCCACUUGCUUCCUGACACUUUCCAUUGUCCUAUUUGAAUAAAAAAAAACUGCUUAUCUAUUUCUAUUCA
ensembl:lncRNA